rnacentral:rRNA from 1 species
GACGAACGCUGGCGGCGUGCUUAACACAUGCAAGUCGAACGGAAAGGCCCUGCUUUUGUGGGGUGCUCGAGUGGCGAACGGGUGAGUAACACGUGAGUAACCUGCCCUUGACUUUGGGAUAACUUCAGGAAACUGGGGCUAAUACCGGAUAGGAGCUCCUGCUGCAUGGUGGGGGUUGGAAAGUUUCGGCGGUUGGGGAUGGACUCGCGGCUUAUCAGCUUGUUGGUGGGGUAGUGGCUUACCAAGGCUUUGACGGGUGGCCGGCCUGAGAGGGUGACCGGCCACAUUGGGACUGAGAUACGGCCCAGACUCCUACGGGAGGCAGCAGUGGGGAAUAUUGCACAAUGGGCGGAAGCCUGAUGCAGCAACGCCGCGUGCGGGAUGACGGCCUUCGGGUUGUAAACCGCUUUCGCCUGUGACGAAGCGUGAGUGACGGUAAUGGGUAAAGAAGCACCGGCUAACUACGUG